UUUAAUUCUAAUCUGAACAAUCAAUGCGUUAAAUUAUCUCAAUAAUUUAUUUAAAUCAACACUCAUAUAAAUAGGGGUGAGUACAUCGAUUUUGACCAUUUCCUGAGUUCCAAUUCACAUAAGUGCUUGUGGCCAGAGGUAGGUAGAUGGAGAAAAUAUUUUACCCUCUUCAAGAGCUUUAGCCUGAAUACUAGCACAGGUGUUUCAGUGGUGUCUGAAAGUCAAAGUGAAACUGUAUUGCUUGUGGCUAUCUAGUUCCUGAAUUAUAAAAGAAACUGCUGAUCUUCAUUGCUGUCUUUUGAAUAUUUUGUUACUGACAGAUCAAAUAUUCACUAGGCUUUAUCAAGUAUGCCUGUGUGUGUAUUCACAUCAUUAAACUAAUAUUUACUGCACACUCCUCUAAGUACUAUAUGUGUGUUGACUUAUUUAAUUCUCUCAACAGUCUGUGAGGAAGUCCUUAUCAUUCUUUAUGUUAAGAUAAGGACCAGCCUGGCCAACAUGGCGAAACCCUGUCUCUACUAAAAAUACAAAAAAUUAGGCCCAGCGCAGUGGCUCACGCCUGUAAUCCCAGCACUUUGGGAGGCCGAGGCGGGCGGAUCACCUGACAUCAGGAGUUUGAGACCAGCCUGGCCAACGUGGUGAAACCCCGUCUCUAUUAAAAACACAAAACAAAAUUAACCAGGUAUGGUGGCGGGUGCCUGUAAUCCCAGCUACUCAGGAGGCUGGGCAGGAGAAUCGCCUGAACCCGGGAGGUGGAGGUUGCAGUGAGCCGAGAUCGUGCCACUGCACUGCAGUCUGGCAACAGAGCAAGACUCCGUCUUAAAAAAAAAAAAAAAAAAAAAAAGUUGAACUCAAUAGAAACCAAAGAAAGGCAAUGUUAAGUAAUUUUCCACUUGCCAAUUUGGCAGAGAGUAAAAAGGAACAAUAAUGACCAGUAUUUGUG
rnacentral:lncRNA from 10 species